CUUUGAUUUGGGGUGGAACAGGGUUAAAAAAACAAUGGAAAGGUUUUGGCCACUACUUUACCAGGAUUCACAUCUUAAAGAGGUCUUGACUACCUUUGUUUCUCUUACAGCAAGAAGGGGUCGAAAUCUCAAAGAUAUCCUGGUACCCAGCCAUCUUUCCACACAAAAUGUUACCAAUACAUGGUUAAAAUCCCCUGCAGUGGGUACUUAUCAGUGUGGUCGCUGUAAAGCGUGUAAAUAUACCAGGAAACAAUCAAAAACUUUUUCAAACUCAGUAAAUUCAGAAACAUACACAACUAAAACUUUCUUAAAUUGUCAGACAGAAGGACUGGUAUAUAAAUACAUACAGAGUAGGUGGAGUGUCUUGGUUCGUGGAUGCAAAAUUGACAACAUCUAGUGCAGUACCAUAAAGUACAUAAAUAGCUUAAUGUAGAAUAUGUGAUUCAGUACUCACAAAAGUAGAGCCAAAGGUAAAUGGCUCAAUUCAAAUGCCUGUGGGAUGAUUAUAAGGGUUCCCACUACCUUUAAGUGCAGCAGCUGUAUCUGGAUUCCUCGAUGGUUUUGUAAAGGAAAACCAUAACCAUUGAGGUAGGUGAGAAGACAAUUCUUCUUUUAAUGAAAAAAAUUUCACAUAAAAUACAGGUAAAACUUCAGAAUACAAAAAAAAGAGUCUCUGAUAAAAAGCCACUCAAUGUGGUAAAGUCAUAAAAAUAGUCCACCAUGGGAUAGCAAGAAGGACUGGUAUACCUCAUUACCUGUAGCUGUAAUUUGAAAUAUGUGGGCAAGACUUUUAGACCAUUUAAAAACCGCAUUUUAGAACAUGUAAACUCUGUUAAUCCAUCUAGACAGACAGAUACACCAAUUUCGCUACAUCUGAAAACUCAACAUAGUGGCUCGGCACAGGGGUUACGGUUCAAUGGCAUUGAAAAAAUCAAAAUGGGCCCAAGAAAGAGAGAUCUAGAUAAAAAACUCCUACAACGAGAAAGUUUUUGGAUUUAUAAAUUAAAGACAUUAUCCCCCUUAGCAAACAAACAGAAGGAUGGGACUGCGCCAGUAAACAAAAUAAGUAAAAUAAAAAAGCCCUGGUUGAGGUAGAACUAUUAAAAUAGAGUCCAGUAUAAUGAAACUUUGGUCUUAUGUUGGUCUCUGAAGUUGUAGAAUUUUGCUCCUUACUGGUAUAUGGAGGAGGGCGAUGGAUGAUGGAAAUGAUGGUGGUAAAGAGUGAUCCAAAAGGUAUCCAAAUAAAAAAGAAGAAAUAAUACUCACUUUUUGUAGAGCUUAUUCCAGCUCUGGUAUGAAUAGCUUGCACCUCCAUAUUGGAGGUGGCAAAAAACAUAUUAGUGGUAAAUAAGCAUUUUUG